rnacentral:rRNA from 1 species
UACGGAGGGUGCAAGCGUUGUUCGGAAUUACUGGGCGUAAAGAGCGUGUAGGCGGUCGAUCAAGUCCGGUGUGAAAGCCCGGGGCUUACCCCCGGAAGUGCGCUGGAAACUGGUCGACUAGAGUAUGGGAGAGGGAAGUGGAAUUCCUGGUGUAGCGGUGAAAUGCGUAGAUAUCAGGAGGAACACCGGCGGCGAAGGCGGCUUCCUGGACCAAUACUGACGCUGAGACGCGAAAGCGUGGGGAGCAAACAGG